rnacentral:sRNA from 1 species
UUUUUUGUAUAAAGCUGAUUAUUUAUAAGAUUUUAAUAUUUUUUCACUUCAUGAAUACAUAUAACAACAAUAAUGAUAUUUUGAUACAAUUCUGUGUAACUAUGUUAUUUUUGUGGUUUAAAAUUUUUCUAACUCGAUUAUAAAUAAAUCAAUUCCUUGUUUUAUGUACUUCAACAACAUUGUGAUAGGCUCAUGAUUAAAGUUUCGAUUGACAUCAACUGAAAAAGAUCUGAAGAGUAUUCGUACAAAAAAAUAAAAAGAUAGCAAAAAGUGAAUUUCAUUGAAGUCAACACUUUUAGAUCUCUUGUCAUUGCAUAUAUCAAUAUUAGAGAAAUGAUCGUGUCUUGGAUGAUUUGAAAAUUGUUCAACUUGAUUAUAAAUAAACUAUUUAUUCUCCAGAUAUAAUACUCCAACAACUAUGUUAUAGGCUCAUGAUUAAAUAUAUAGAAUUGAUAUAAACUGAACAAGAUUUCAAGAGUAUUCAUAUGAAAAGAAUUAAAAGAAUGCAAAAAUUAAAGUAUCAUUAAAGUCAAUACUUUUAGAUCUUCUGUCAUUGCAUAUAUCAAUAUAAGAGAAAUGAUCGUGUAUUACAUUAUUUGGUAGGUCUAAUAUUUUGAAGGUUUAUUAUUUGAAAAAACAUGAAUGUCAAUGUUAUCAAAGAAUCAAAAUUAAAUUACUAAACUAAUAAGAGGUUAGGUAGCAAACAACUACAACACAAUAAAAAAAUUAGUCAUGAUUAU